AAGAAUGUGUGGCUUUUCUUGGCAUAUUCAUGGGUAAACUGUCAGGUUGUUUGUCUCCUCAAGGGCCUCAGUCUUUAGACAACUCUGGAAGCUCAGUUUCUGACUGGAAAGGAGUGAUGCUAACAGAGCUGAACUUAUGAUGGACGAAUAGAUGCGAUGCAACCCUAACAAGCUUUCAGCUAUAACAACAAACCGAUGUGAGAGAAGGUGACUCACUUUCUCCAACAGCCACAAUGACGCAUCGCAAAUCGGAGUGAUAUAAAGUGCUGCUGGAUGAACUGUAGGAAGGCUUCGCCAGGAGUCCCGGUUCUGCAAUCGGCCUGGAUCUGGACCCACAGCUGACGGAACCAGGGCUAAUUUGGACCACACUGCUGUCGAUCGCGGUAAAGGGCAGUUCUAGUGCGCACGCGGCCACCGAUGCUUGUGAAGGAGGAAGAAGGCCGGGAUUAUCCUCUCAUUGCCGCAUGAAAUGUGGAGCUCUGUGUCCACAAAAAGGCCUGUGGUUUUAGUAAAACUGUUACGUCAUCAGAUGUAUUUAAAAUAGCAGCACAUUCAGCAGGAAUUACGGGGUUGUGUUGGUUUUAAUGACUACAAACGCUCACUGACGAGCGUUUGCAGCCGCGAGGCCCGAAGGAGGUCAAGAGGGGAAAAAACACCCCAAACUCGGACUGACGUCGACAUUUGUGGCGUUUUGUUACGUACCGCUCUUUAUGCCCGAACGUCCAACAGUUCCAAAAACUUCAAACGUUGUCACGGUGUCGAGAAAUCAUUGCUUUCACUUCCAGCGUUUGCUGCUUUUCCGGGGGGUUAGCAUGAAACCAAUUCAGCUAGCGGAUAUGGAGGGAAAAAAUAAGAGUCUUCCUGUUUAAAUAAUUUCAAAGUAAAAGCACGAAAAAUGGUAAAAAAAA